AUGGGUCAAACAUUAAAAGAUCUCGAUGCGUGCUUUCUGACAUACCAUUCUCUUUCUACACCUCUGGGAGGUUUACAAAGAGUGCAGCCUCCUGUACCAUCACAUCCAACCGAGAUGGAUGGUGUCCCAAAAAUAUCUUUACCUGUUUUUGGUCUUGCCUCAUACAAGUUCAAGGGACCCAUGUGGACUCAAAGUGGUGGAUACGAGCGCCAAUUAUCCAACUCUCUUUUACAGAAUGCUGAUAAAUGGUUACGACUGCUUCAGGUCAGUCACCCAGAUUUCCUGUUUUUCAGCCGUUGA